CGCGUGCACUGGUCCGGCCGGGCCUUUCCUUCUGUGGAACCCCAUGCCCUUCACUGGGUGUGGCGGGGAAACAGGACUUUUACUUUGAAAAAAUUAGAGUGCUCCAGGCAGGCCUAUGCUCGAAUACAUUAGCAUGGAAUAAUAAAAUAGGACGUGUGGUUCUAUUUUGUUGGUUUCUAGGACCGCCGUAAUGAUUAAUAGGGACAGUCGGGGGCAUCAGUAUUCAGUUGUCAGAGGUGAAAUUCUUAGAUCUACUGAAGACUAACUACUGCGAAAGCAUUUGCCAAGGAUGUUUCCAUUAAUCAGGAACGAAAGUUAGGGGAUCGAAGACGAUCAGAUACCGUCGUAGUCUUAACCAUAAACUAUGCCGACUAGGGAUCGGACGAUGUUAUUUUUUGACUCGUCCGGCACCUUACGAGAAAUCAAAGUGCUUGGGCUCCAGGGGGAGUAUGGUCGCAAGGCUGAAACUUAAAGAAAUUGACGGAAGGGCACCACCAGGGGUGGAGCCUGCGGCUUAAUUUGACUCAACACGGGGAAACUCACCAGGUCCAGACACAAUAAGGAUUGACAGAUUGAGAGCUCUUUCUUGAUUUUGUGGGUGGUGGUGCAUGGCCGUUCUUAGUUGGUGGAGUGAUUUGUCUGCUUAAUUGCGAUAACGAACGAGACCUUAACCUGCUAACUAGCCCGUAUUGCUCAGGCAGUACGCCGGCUUCUUAGAGGGACUAUCGG
rnacentral:rRNA from 1 species